CUCAACUAGGAGAGGCCGUUCGAAACUAGGUUUCUAGAGGCUGGUAGAGGAGAGUGGAAUUCCCGGUGUAGUGGUGAAAUGCGUAGAUAUCGGGAGGAACACCAGUGGCGAAAGCGGCUCUCUGGGCCAGUCCUGACGCUCAGAUGCGAAAGCUAGGGGAGAGAACGGGAUUAGAAACCCCGGUAUUCCUAGCCGUAAACGAUGUCAACUAGGCGUAGGUGGUGAUUGACCCCAUCUGUGCUGCAGCCAACGCGAUAAGUUGACCGCCUGGGGAGUACGGCCGCAAGGCUAAAACUCAAAAGAAUUGACGGGGGCCCGCACAAGCAGCGGAGCAUGUUCUUUAAUUCGAUGCAACGCGAAGAACCUUACCUGGACUUGACAUGGUGCUGCAAGCGCACUGAAACGUGUGACCUUCGAGGGUGC
rnacentral:rRNA from 1 species